rnacentral:rRNA from 1 species
CUGCUGCCUUCCGUAGGAGUCUGGUCCGUGUCUCAGUACCAGUGUGGGGGACCUUCCUCUCAGAACCCCUACGCAUCGUCGGUUAGGUGGGCCGUUACCCCGCCUACUGCCUAAUGCGCCGCAUGCCCAUCCCUGUCCGGCCGAAGCCUUUCCUGCCUCCGGGAUGCCCCGGUGGCAUGUACGCGGGUUUAGCCCGCCUUUCGGCGGGUUGUCCCCCUGACAGGGGCAGGUUGCAUACGUGUUACUCACCCGUGCGCCGGUCGCCGGCGGGAGAAGA